rnacentral:rRNA from 1 species
AAUGAACGCUGGCGGCAGGCCUAACACAUGCAAGUCGAACGGUAACAGGAAGACGCUUGCCUCUUUGCUGACGAGUGGCGGACGGGUGAGUAAUGUGUGGGAAAUUGCUUGAUGGAGGGGGUUAAUUACUGGAAACGGUAGUUAAUACCGCAUAAUGUCGCAAGACCAAAGAGGGGGAGUUUCGGGCCUCUUUCCAUUGGGUGUGCCCAGAUGUGAUUGGCUAGUAGGUGGGGGUACGGCUGACCUAGGAGACGCUCUCUAGCUGGUCUGAGAGGGAGACCAGCCACACGGGCACUGAGGAACAGUCCAGACUCCGACGGGGGGCAGCAGUGGAGAAUAUUGCGGGAAGGGCGCAAGCCUGAUGCAGCCAUGCCGGGUGUAUGAAGAAGGCCUUCGGGUUGUAAAGUACUUUCAGCGGGGGGGAAGGAAGGAACGUUAAUACCUUUACUCAUUGACAUUACCCGCAGAAGAAGCCCCGGCUAACUCCGUG